GUUUCUUCGGAAAUGAGAGAGCGGCGUACGGGUGCGGAACACGUGUGCAACCUGCCUUUAUCUGGGGGAUAGCCUUUCGAAAGGAAGAUUAAUACUCCAUAACAUAUUGGACGGCAUCGUUUAAUAUUGAAAGCUCCGGCGGAUAGAGAUGGGCACGCGCAAGAUUAGCUAGUUGGUGAGGUAACGGCUCACCAAGGCGAUGAUCUUUAGGGGGCCUGAGAGGGUGAUCCCCCACACUGGUACUGAGACGCGGACCAGACUCCUACGGGAGGCAGCAGUGAGGAAUAUUGGUCAAUGGGUGCAAGCCUGAACCAGCCAUCCCGCGUGAAGGACGACUGCCCUAUGGGUUGUAAACUUCUUUUGUAUAGGGAUAAACCUACCCUCGUGAGGGUAGCUGAAGGUACUAUACGAAUAAGCACCGGCUAACUCCGUGCCAGCAGCCGCGGUAAUACGGAGGGUGCAAGCGUUAUUCGGAAUUACUGGGCGUAAAGCGCACGUAGGCCGCUUUGUAAGUCAGGGGUGAAAUCCCACGGCUCAACCGUGGAACUGCCCUUGAAACUGCAGAGCCUUGAAUCCUGGAGAGGGUGGCGGAAUUCCUGGUGUAGGAGUGAAAUCCGUAGAUACUCAGGAGGAACAUCCGGUGGCGAAGGCGGCCACUGGACAGGCAUUGACGCUGAGGUGCGAAAGUGUGGGGAGCAAACA
rnacentral:rRNA from 1 species